AGAGUUUGAUCAUGGCUCAGAAUGAACGUUGGCGGCGUGGAUUAGGCAUGCAAGUCGAGCGAGAAUCCGCCGAUUGAGGCUUCGGCCAAGAGAGGUGGAGGAAAGCGGCGAAAGGGAGAGUAACGCGUGGAUUAUCUGCCCUCAGGUCAGGGAUAGCUGCGGGAAACUGCAGGUAAUACCGGAUAAUGUCUUCGGACCAAAGGUGUGAUUCCGCCUGUGGAUGAGUCCGCGUCCUAUUAGCUAGUUGGUGGGGUAAUGGCCCACCAAGGCAACAAUGGGUAGCGGGUGUGAGAGCAUGACCCGUCUCAUUGGGACUGAGACACUGCCCAGACGUCUACGGACGGCUGCAGUCGAGAAUCUUCCGCAAUGGACGAAAGUCUGACGGAGCGACGCCGCGUGCGGGAUGAAGGCCCUCGGGUUGUAAACCGCUGUCAGUGGGGAGGAAAUCCUAUGGAGUUCUCUUCAUAGGUUGACCUAUCUUCAGAGGAAGGCCGGGCUAAGUUCGUGCCAGCAGCCGCGGUAAGACGAACCGGUCGAACGUUAUUCGGAAUCACUGGGCUUAAAGGGUGCGUAGGCGGCCUUGCAAGUUGGGUGUGAAAUCCUGGGGCUCAACCCCAGAAUUGCGCCCAAAACUGCAGGGCUUGAGGAAAGUAGGGGUGAGCGGAACUGAUGGUGGAGCGGUGAAAUGCGUUGAUAUCAUCAGGAACACCUGUGGCGAAAGC
rnacentral:rRNA from 1 species